rnacentral:rRNA from 1 species
ACUGAUUGAACGUGCUUGCACGGACUUGACGUUGGUUUACCAGCGAGUGGCGGACGGGUGAGUAACACGUAGGUAACCUGCCCCAAAGCGGGGGAUAACAUUUGGAAACAGAUGCUAAUACCGCAUAACAAUUUGAAUCGCAUGAUUCAAAUUUAAAAGAUGGCUUCGGCUAUCACUUUGGGAUGGACCUGCGGCGCAUUAGCUUGUUGGUAGGGUAACGGCCUACCAAGGCUGUGAUGCGUAGCCGAGUUGAGAGACUGAUCGGCCACAAUGGAACUGAGACACGGUCCAUACUCCUACGGGAGGCAGCAGUAGGGAAUCUUCCACAAUGGGCGCAAGCCUGAUGGAGCAACACCGCGUGAGUGAAGAAGGGUUUCGGCUCGUAAAGCUCUGUUGUUAGAGAAGAACGUGCGUGAGAGCAACUGUUCACGCAGUGACGGUAUCUAACCAGAAAGUCACGGCUAACUACGUGCCAGCAGCCGCGGUAAUACGUAGGUGGCAAGCGUUAUCCGGAUUUAUUGGGCGUAAAGCGAGCGCAGGCGGUUUGAUAAGUCUGAUGUGAAAGCCUUUGGCUUAACCAAAGAAGUGCAUCGGAAACUGUCAGACUUGAGUGCAGAAGAGGACAGUGGAACUCCAUGGGGGAAAGGG